GCACAUCCAUCCGGCUCCCUUAAUAGUAACCGAGGCACACCGUGUCCCAGUCCAGACCCCCCUCAGUUAGGACACCGGGUACUCCAGCGCGAUCAGUCCCGUAAGUGCGUCCCCCUCACCCGCUCGUCUCGCUGUGCCGUGCCGGUCCGGUCCGGUCGCUUCUCCCCCCCCUUGGAGAACAGUAUUCCCUGAGCUGGAUGAAUUAUUGGAGAGUUUUGAACAAGUGCGAGAAGAAAGCUGAGGCUCAGGAUCUGCCUCCUCGCUCCGUCCUGGGAAGACUCCAGAGCCAGAGUUGUGGACGAUAAUGGAGGGGACGUCCCUGUAUCUUCCUAUUGUUAUUUUACUCAUGCAAUGUUCCCCCUCCGUUCCUGUUAUCGUGUCGAGCAAGCAACACAAGGUGGAGGUGCGGGAGUUCUUAGAUGCGGUCCUGUCCUGCGAGUUCCGCACAGAGAGGGACCAGAACCCACGCAUCGAGUGGAAGAAGAAGGGGAAAGAUGUCUCCUUUGUGUACUUUGAGGGAAACUUCAAAGGUCCCUUUGAAGGGCGGGCAACCAUUGCAGGGGCGACAGUGACACUGAAAAGGGUGACCCAGGAGGAUGCUGGGGAGUACCGUUGUGAAAUAAGCGCUCCUCUUGACCCUGUAAAUCUGGGCGAGACUAAUGUCACCCUCAAAGUCCUGGUGCCCCCACACACCCCGUCCUGUGAAAUCCCCAGUUCAGCAGUGACAGGCUCAGUGGUGCAGCUGCGCUGUCGGGACCAGCAGAGCAUCCCGCCUGCUACAUACUCUUGGUACAAGGACGACCUGCUAAUGAGCCAGGCGCGGCACGCCAACGCCACCUAUCUAAUCAACCAAUACACAGGAAUACUGGAGUUUAAAACUGUGGCCAAAGAGGACACCGGCACAUACCGCUGCAAGGCUUCCAACGGGGUGGGACCAGCCAAGUCGUGUGAGGGCAAGCGCAUGACGAUAGAGGACGUCAACGUCACAGCCGUGGUGGCAGCCGUGGUGGUGGUCUGCCUGGUCAUCGUGGUCUUAGGAUGCGGGGGAUACCUCUUACAUCGCAAUGGCUUCUUCAGCCCAGGACACAGAGGAAGGUCAUUUUGGAUCUCCCAGUGUCAUGGGGCAGCCCACAUCAGCAGCCAAACCCUGCACAGAACUGAGGACACGUCCAAUGUCAACUACAUCCCUCCGCCCCAAGAAGUAAGUCCUUUUUUUCACCCUCUCUGCAUCUCCCCACUUCCCUCCUAUAUUAGGCACUCAGUGGUGUUGUUGACUUUAAGGAUAAGGCUAACAAAUGUUCAGUUUUUCUUAUCGUCAACAUAUAGUUUGCAGUCAAACCAACAAGGAACUCGUCCUAGUAAGUAUUGUGGGUGUAUCCAAAGCCUAAUAUCUUAUUCUUCUGUGACUUUUUUUCCUAUCUUUAUUUAAGAGUGUGAUACUAUUAAUUUGAGAGCAUGAUUUAUGUAAUUUAUGUUCAGAUUUGUGAAAUGAUCUCUAAAAACCUGCCCUCGCACUCAUUUAGCUUCUGUUUGUGCUUAAGUUUGCUCUGUUUCUUGUCAAACUGUAUGCUUGCAGUCAGAUAUAUUGUUGCUGGCACUGAUUUCCUGUGCUCCAAUCUGUGUAAGCAAUAUAUCUGAAUGCGAGCAUCUGAGAAGAAACAGAGCAAAUUUAAGUGCAAGCAGAGGCUACUUGAGUGCAAGGGCAGGGUUUUGAGAGAUAAUACAAAAUCUGAACAUUAAAUCAAUAAAUCAUGCUCUUAAAUGGAUAUACCAUGCUCUUAAAUAAAGAUAGGAGGGGGGGAAAAAAAACUAUAUACAGCGGGUGACACGUUCCUUCAGUCCACAGGCAACGUCUACCAUAGUUUGUUUAGAGACCACUCGGAAGAGUAAUAACAGUGGUAAGAGAGAGGUUACUUGUAUGGUAGAUGUCACUGUGCACGUGCAAGAACAUGGCUCCAUUUACUGUACUUUACUAGCUUGUUGUGCUACAUAUCACAAUCUCUUGGCUUUGUGCUGUCCUCUGUCUUAGGUACACCUGUGCAAUCUAAUUCAAUCCAAAACAACAGCUCUACUAUAGAUUCUGUAUUAUGAAGAUUAUACAUUUUCAGUUUUUUGAUGACAUUGUUAAAAAGGUGAUAAUUCUUCAUGUUUAUUAUUGAGGUUGUGCUACGUGGUGGUGGUGGUGGUGGGUGCAUUAUAUUGACUGGUGUUACUGGACUCAUGAUUUUCUCUCUCACCCUUAAUUAAGGAAAUGUCCAUAACAGUGGCCAGUGACUGUAAAGCCAAGAGGUUGUCCUAUGUAGUGCAAUAAGCUAGAGAACUCUGAAAGAGGAAUAUGAUGUGUAUCAGGCUUUGGCUACACACGCAAAUAGGAUGAUUUUAUUGUUGGUCUGGAUGGACAUAAGAUAUGUUGAUGAUAAGAGAAACAGUCAUUCACCAGCCAGUGUUAUCCAGGUCAUGUAUUUUAAAAUGGGCUAAGUUGAUGACACACACAUUUGUUUCACCCCUUGUCCAAAAAGCUUCAGUUCUGACUGAGCAGUGGCUAGUCACAGCUCUUUCACCUAUGUAGGGAGGUUUGACACCUUCAGGGUCAUUGAGGUCACAGGUGGGUCUGUAGUCCAGCUGGCUGUCAUGUUAGUGUUGUAGGCGCCAAUCAAGGUGUUAAUAGUGUUAAACUGCCUGGGAUGAAAGGACAGGAUUAUAAGUGGUGUGUAAAUUGUGUAAUCCAGUUUGACAAAGAUGGCUUCCUCUUCACAACCUCCAUCUUCCCUGUCCAAUAAUACAUUGCUGUCCAUUAAAGUGUCCCUUAUCCUUUAAGAUGUAGGUA